UACGGAGGGUGCGAGCGUUGUCCGGAAUCAUUGGGCGUAAAGGGCGCGUAGGUGGCCCGGUCAGUUCGUGGUGAAAGCGCGGGGCUCAACCCUGCGUCGGCCAUGAAUACUGCCGCGGCUGGAGCACUGUAGAGGCAGGCGGAAUUCCGGGUGUAGCGGUGGAAUGCGUAGAGAUCCGGAAGAACACCGGUGGCGAAGGCGGCCUGCUGGGCAGUUGCUGACACUGGAGGCGCGACACGUGGGGAGCAACAGG
rnacentral:rRNA from 1 species